GACGAACGCUGGCGGCGUGCUUAACACAUGCAAGUCGAACGGAAAGGCCUCUUUCGGGGGGUACUCGAGUGGCGAACGGGUGAGUAACACGUGAGUAACCUGCCCUUGACUUUGGGAUAACUUCAGGAAACUGGGGCUAAUACCGGAUAGGAGCUCCUGCUGCAUGGUGGGGGUUGGAAAGUUUCGGCGGUUGGGGAUGGACUCGCGGCUUAUCAGCUUGUUGGUGGGGUAGUGGCUUACCAAGGCUUUGACGGGUAGCCGGCCUGAGAGGGUGACGGACACAUUGGGACUGAGAUACGGCCCAGACUCCUACGGGAGGCAGCAGUGGGGAAGAUUGCACAAUGGGUGGAAGCCUGAUGCAGCAACGCCGUGUGCGGGAUGACGGCCUUCGGGUUGUAAACCGCUUUCGCUCAUGACGAAGCUUUGUGUGACGGUAGUGGGUAAAGAAGCACCGGCUAACUACGUG
rnacentral:rRNA from 1 species